GGCUAGGCCCUGCCUCCCUCGUCCCGUCCCUGGUUCCCAUUGGCCUUCAGUUUGGGACAGGCAUGUUGAUUGCAGAGCUGGAGUUCAGACAGCUGGAGCGAGGAGGGUGUGUGGCUUUUUAGAGUAGAGUUCUUUGGCCUACUCACCAACCGACUGUCCGAAAGGGGCUGGAGAUGCCACCCCAGCAAGGAGAGACCACGGAGCCUGGUGAGGGAGAUACACCUGCAAAGAGAGCUUCAGUGCAGUAACAACAACAGGCAUAGCUGGUGUGUUCAUCAACUCACAAGAGAUCACACUACCAGCAUCUCCCGCUUGAUUUCCCCAAUGACGAACAACUUAUCCUGGAAAUGACUCCUUUGGUAGGUAUAGCAGGGACAGGUUUCGUGUGUUCUCUGAUGUAUAAACCCAAGACCUUCAGGUGAGGAGACCGACACUGACAUGCUGCCUGUUGUGGUAAUGACACACUCAGGGCACCAUCUCCAAAUGAUACCCAAACCAAUCCUUUCAAGUCUCCAUCUCUUAAAGAUUUGUGAAGAAAUCAAAUGUCUGUUGCCUGUGAAGUCCCAUGUUGUAAAAUUCUAAAUAUUUUACAGUAGCCUUUGGAUCUUACCCUUGAUUGCACAAAUACGCAGCACAGCAGAGCAUUCAUCAUGCCCGUGGCCCUUGGCUCCACCACUCACUGCUGGGUGAUGCUGAGAAAGUUCCUUAACAUCUCUGUGCCUUCUUUCUCCAUUAGUCCCAUGAAAAUACUACUAGUAACGUCAUCUACUCCUUGGGGCAGUUUAGAGCACUGACUGUGUGAAGACAAGUACAGCUGUCUGGACAGUCCUUGGCAUAUGGUAAGUUUCCAACCAAUUCUAAGCUGUUUUUGUUGCUGUUCCCUCAUUUCCCUGGAGCAUGUUCUGGAGACACAAAUGUCAAAUCUACCUUCGACCCCUUGGAUGAUGUGUAGAUUGUCUCUUCAGCUCUUCAGGGACUCAAGAUCUGAGUCUGUGGGGCGGGGGGAAGGCAUAUUUUAUUAGCAUAAUGAAUAUUCAGCUCUCCCUACAGGAUAUUGUGGAGCCUAAAUGCAAUGCUGGGGUUUCAUCCUCAUGAGCUUGUAUGGAAACUUUGAAUGGAAAUUCCUCUAGGAAAUUAGAACUCUAGUGACCUCUCCCUGUGACUUGUAUAAUGCUUGGACAAGUAAGUGGGCAUUGGAUAAUCGUAGCACAAAAGCAUAUAAAUUUUUAGAAACAUUUUAAAGAGUGAAGUUUAAAGGCCAAAAAUUAUUAUCGUAUGAUCGUUCUAUUGCUAUUAGUUGUAUUAAGUCCAACUCUCCUCCAUCAAAUUGUAAAGAUCUGAAUCCGAUGGAGAUACAAAGCUGUUAGCAGUUAAUUUUCAUUAGUGGCAUUUUAUUU